rnacentral:lncRNA from 1 species
UCGAGUAUUUUCAUAAGCUCUUCCAAACACCAUUUUGACACCGCAUAGUUUUUAGAGAAAACAAUAACGGAGAGCUUGGCUUCUUCGAUGGCCCUAACAAGGGUGGUUGGUAUUUCAUCACCACUAUUAAGAUCAUUGUCUAUAUAGGUUCUUAUAUCUAAUCUUUUCAAAGCACCAUUAAGAUGGCUUGUGAAAUUGUUGCGAGUAUCCUCACCUCUAAAACUAAUAAACACUUCGUGCUUUUCUAGAGGAGCAUUGUUGAAUGAAGAGGAGGAAGAUGAAUAUGACCAUGCCAUAAUAAUGCUAAUGUGUAUUUGACUAUAGUUACUAGAGUAUAUAGGUAAAACUACGAAUAAUCGUUGUUUCCGACAACUCAGGCCUCAGGGUUUGAAUUUUAUGGUUAAUUCGAUGUACGACCCCGGUACUUAUAAUAUUUACAAGCAAAAAUAAUUGGAUGUCCACCCGUGUGAUGCACGGGUUAAUUUUAGGAGAUUUUUAUUGUUUAUGAUGUGAAUAUCUUAUUUUAUUGAAUGAUGAGAAUAUUUAUGAUGUGAAUGUCAUUUUUUAUAGAACUAUGAGAAUAUUUACAAAAAAGAUGGGGUGCAAAAUCGCUCAAAAAAAAGUUGAUGCAAAAUCGCACAAUUAGCAAAAUAUAGGGGGGAAAAGUGCAAUUAAGCCUAAAAAUAAAAAGGAAAUACAUACUUAACUAAUAAAUAGACAUCGUACUGUUCUCGUGAGCUUAACUAAGUUGGUACGAACAAUGCAUUAAUAUAUGCAAGAUCCGGGAUUAAAAUCCAGCCACCACAAAAUAAGAAAAUAGACAACGUACAUAUACGAAUGCAAUUACUUACAAUGUCUUGACUUAUCAAAGUGCCCUUAUUUAUAAAAUAUUAAACCAACUACAAUAUAAAAAAAAUAUAAAAGAGAAAAUAGCGCUUAGAAGACUUUUUUUAUCAGUUCUCACAUUAAUAGUAUAUAUAUAAAGUAAGGUUUUUUAUGCCACGUGUCAUUUCCACGUAUAUUCGCAAUAUUUUUAUUAUUUUUUUAUUUUUUAAAACCAAUAUUUGAUUUGGCAUAAAUAUCUCAACAAACUUUUGAUCUUAUCUAUUAAAUAUUUUACUUACUUUUUCAUUGAUUCCUAAAAUUUUAUGUAACAGAAAUAUCUCAACAGAAAUAACACAAAUUCCUAAAAGUUAAUUUUAUUAUAUAUGUGUUAAUAUUUUUACUAAAUCCAAUUAAUUUUAUCUGUAUGUGCAUCUAUAAAUUAACGAGUAUUUUAUAAUAUGGUAUAUUUUAUUAUGUUUGUUUGUAUUUUUAUUAAGAUAUUCAUCCUAUUCCAAUCCGUGAUAAAUUUUAUUUGCGAAUAACAUACAUAUAAUUUUUUUAUCUUCUUGAAUAUGUCUAACCCGGGCAACGCCAGAUAAAUACACCAGUAGUAAAUAACAACAUAAGAAUUUGAAAAAUAAAAAACCUAUCGUUAUUUUAUGCAAUAACAAAAACAAAACAAAAAUCUUAGAAGACUUCUUAGUUCUCUCAACAGUAAAUCAAAUUUUUUAUAAUUGAGUGUAACUCUAUACUAACCCUAAUAUUCCCACUUGACCUUCGUGUAAUUUGAAAAAACAAAAGGAUUUUCAAAAAUUAAAAAUGAAUCAAGUUUUUAUAUUCGAUUGUAACUCUAUACUAUUCCCACUAUUUUCACAGGACCUUCGUGUGAUUUGAAGGUACAAAAGGGUUCUAAAAAAAUUAAAACUGAAUAAUAUUUUAAUAAUUGAGUGUAAUUUUAUACCAAUCCUAACAAAAACGCAAGAAAGAGAAAAUUUGCAUUUUGUUUUAGAUUUGUGUUCCCUUUUUUUGUUCGUUUUCUGAAUGUGGUUAUACCGGUAAAGUGCAGAAUGUAAAGAUACACGAAAAAGAAUAUAACACCUCGUUUUAAGAGACGUCCACCCGUGCGAUGUGCGGGUCAAUUCUAUAAUAUUUUUAUUGUUUAUGACAUGAAUAUCUUAUUUUAUUGAAUGAUAAGAAUAUUUACGAUGUGAAUGUUUUUUUUUUUUUUUUUAUUUAUAUAGAACUAUGAGUAUAUUUACGAUGUGAAUAUUUUUUGUAUAGAACAAUGAGAAUAUAUAUCAAACUAUAUUUUAUUAGUAUCUCUCAAAGUAUUUUCAUAAACAACAAAACCUAUUUUAAAUUUAAAGAGAUCCAUCUACUGAUGAAAAUAAAAGGCCUCUUGAAUUAAAAAGUUCAAUACUUGAAUUAUGUUAGUUACUAUUGUUGAACCUUGGAGUUUUAUGUGACCGUUACCAUUGUUGUUGAUCCAGUAUUAUAUGUUUACUAAGUGCUGACUACGUGAAAAUUCUCAAACAAAUGGCACACGCAUAAAUUUUAUUUUUCAUAUAACAUGAGAGCAAAAACCAGCACCAUAACUAUUAAUAUUAACACUAAUGUUAAUCUUAAAUUUCUCAUGUUAUGAAUGAUGGAUCACCACUAUUAGAAUCUGAAUUAAUCUUAUUGUGAAUCGAUAUCUCUGUCUUGAAGAACCACCGAACUAUUGUUGAAGAAUUGAUUAAGGUCCAUGAAUCAAAAACUUCUCACUGGAUUUUGUAUUGAGGACAAGAUUGUAUGUGAGAAUGUGUAGAUGUUUAGAUGUUCUUAAUUUUAAUUUUAAAGAAUAUGUAGUGUUGAUUAUAUCUAACAGUUUAUUUUCUAUGCUCCAUUGAUGAGGGAUUCAAUUGCACCAUCACCUUAUAAUCCACCUAUGGUUUUAUACAAAAAAAAAAUUCUAUAAAAAAUGGCUAUGAAAUCAAGUAUAUGAAGUUUUGUAUAUAUUGAAUUUGUGAUGUAUAUAUUAACCAAAUAUUUGUUCCCAUAGAAUAUUCUUUUUAGCAAAACAUAUACAUAUUUGUUUCCUUUUUUAGAAUAAAAUAUUUGUUUCUAUAUUUACAUAAUUAUUCGAUGUAUAUAUAUGAACCAAAGGUGGCAUAAAUUUUUUUUUUUUGGUGUGUUAACCCUCUUGUUCAAAGGGAAAAGAUACCCUAGUAAUUUAGAGUUCGACCGAAAGGUAUGUAAAGCAUGUCCUAACCAAGAAUUGUUGCACACCAUAAAUAAUAUUUUUUUUUUUUUUUUUGUAAAAGAGUCAAUUUUUAUUUGUUUUGAAAUUAAAAAUUUGCUUUAUAGCAUGAAUAUAAUAUUCAAUUUUAUUAUUUAUUUUUUUGAUAGGCAAAGAGAUAGGUGAUACAUCAAGGUAUGUAUGAAAUACAGACCCAUAUCUUACCUACUCAUAAUAUAUUAUUAAAAAAUGGAAAUGGGGUGGGGGACCAAAACCUUUAAAAAUCAAGGAAAAAGAAGAAAAUGAAAUAAAAAAAUAAAUAAGAAAAUUAAAGAAAAGUGGCCAUAGAAGAGAAGGUACUGCUCAACCACCCUUGGGUUCCCCCUUGGAUCGAGUGUUGUACGAAUAAAGUUUACUUUUUGCUUCUUCAUUAAAAAAGGUGUAAAGGGGACGUCCACAUCUUUACCUCGAAUAAGAUAUUCUCUAACAAAGUCAAGUUCCUUCUAAAGUUGUGGAUCAAUAUGUGAUGCUACCUCUAUAGGCUCCAAAGGCAUAAUUGCUUCUGUAGGAAUGAUCAUGCUAGGAGACUUAACAAUUACCAUAUUUUUCUACUGGUUCCAAAAUAAAAUGUUCCUCAUUACCAUUCUAUCCAACCAAGGCAGAAGAAUCGACAAUAUCAUCGUUGACAUUUGAUAAUGGAAAAUGAAAAGAGGUGCUUGAGUUUGGAGGCUGUUCAAUACGAGUUAAUUAUCUGAGAGGAAACAUGUUCAUAUGAUACAAUCUGACCUUUUGUACUUUGUUGCAAUGAUGGUUCUAUAGGUGUGAUGAUUGUAACAUCUUGAUCUGCACUAGGGACGACAUGUUCUGCAUGAGAUAUAACUGGUAUUAUAUUAGUAAUAUGAGGUACUUCAAAUGCUUUCGAGGGCCCAAUCCCAUUUGGUUAUGUUUUUCGACAUAUUUCUGAGUAGCAGCGCGAUCAACUUUUUCAACAACCUGCUCAGGGUGUAGCCAACGACAAGCCGUAACAUUGUGCUCAAUCAUCUGACAACGUGAACAUUAAUCUUGUAGCCGUUCAUAAACUUCUAAUUUGAAAGCAAUCUCAAACCUGUCGAGAGAUGGUGUAUUUUUUGUUUCUAAACCUACCCUCUAAGUAACCUGAGUGCUUCUCGUGGCCGUUUUCAAAACCUUUUUUCAAUCAAAACCUUUACACAACAUGAUUCUGAGAUCUCUAGUUCGGUCUCGCUUGUAAUAAUAAGAACUAGUUCGUUUGCCAAAAACACAGGCAAACAAAUAUACUUUUUAAGUUUGGUCCCUCCUAAAGGCUCCGUCCCCGAGUAAGAUUUUUUCUACCAUAGGUACGAGAGUUCAAAGGCCAUUUUCGAAGAUCAACAUAAAGCAAUUCAAAGACAAAUAUUAUAAGAGUCAUUCAAGGUUAAAAGUCUCUAACUUCCCAAAGCUGUCAUAUCAAUAGAUUUAAGAGAACUUCAACACCCAAGACUCGAAUAGAUGAAGAGACUUGCAAGAGAAAUUUUCAAGAUGGUUAAAGGACACUUGAGAUCCACGCAUUUUAGAAGUUUGUUUAUUUCUUUUUAUUGAAUAGUAGAAUCAAACAUCAUGCAAAUUAAUUUAUUUUCGUUCUGUAAAAUAAACCUACUAGAUAAACACAUCCGUCCUUACAAGAUAACAUAUGUUACUGGCUGCUUGAAUUGAACAAUAUUUUUUUUUUUUUUGACAAGAAAUUGAACAAUAUAUGUAACUCUACACUGUUUUAUAUAAUACCAUUUUCUUUUAUCUUUAUUUCUUGUUUUGUGUAGUUUUACAUUUACAUUUUAUUCUAUUUUACUUUGUCCACCAAUAGUCACAAUUGACAAUUGAUUCCUCAGAAAACUAGUACAUUAAUUAGCUUAAAAUAGAAACAACUUUUUUUUCUUUUUCUUCUUUUUGGUUAGCUUAAAAUUCUUAUUGUCUGAUGAGUUCUCUAAAUGUGAAAGCAUAUCAGGUGACAAGCGAAGCAAACGAAGACUUCUCUCCAUUUUAAGUUCUGUGAUACGUUUAACAGUUGCUUUAUAGUUGUUCAAAUCUAUAAGUUUAGUUGUGCUUUCAUGGAACUGAAAUUGGAGCUUCGCAAGUUCCUCAUACUUACCAAUCUGUUGAUCUAGGUCUCCAACAUAUACUCCAUUGAUCUUGUUUAAUACAUCCACAGCAAUUUCCUCAACCAAUGCCAAUUCUGUUCUGUACACAAACAUCAAGCAUAAUACAACACAUGUAAAGAUCUCAAAUUUCACAACGGAACAAACCAAUCAUAAAACAAUUCUAAGUUGCCAAAAUGAUAAAGACAGUUAGCUGAAUGAGAGGUUGACACCACACUAGGUAUAUGAGUCAUGUCCCUUAUAAAGUGUUCAACAUUCAGUUUUCUAUCUCCCCCUCAAUCAACCAGAAGUUUUCUAUCCCGUUGUACUUGUACCUUUGUUGCCGAUCUGAACGGGUCACGCCACCUGAACACCCUUGGUCUAUAAGACUUUCGACACAAAGAGCAGGUCGAUCAUCACAUCGGAACUUGAACAAGGGUCCAGGCAAUCAUCACAUCGGAACUUGAAUAAUCAUUCAAGUGUGUAUGGUUGUCAAACUCACGAGUAUACUCGCACAAGUUACGAGUCUAGAAGGCACAACUAAGUGGAAUCGCGCAUAGAAUAUUUUUUGAGCUAGACUCGUGUAGACUCGCAUAGACUCGUGAGUUUAUGAUGAGUUUACAAGUCUAUGAGUUUUUUUGAAAAAACAAUUUGUUUUUGAAAAAAAGCUCAAACUAAACAAAAAUUUAAAGGAAAAAAACUUACUUAGAAUCCUCUUAAUUUCUUUUUCGGUCUCACUCUCAAUUUAGAAACAAAUCUCUCACUCUCACCAAAAAUAGAAGAAUUCAGGUCAUACUCACCUACGUUGACGACAAUUUUUUCUUUCUUCAUCGACGAUGACAUUCUUUUGUUGUGUAUCGAAAUAUUGUGGAAAUUGAUGUUGCUAAUAAUACUACUAGAAAAAGCAAAAUUUGGGAGGAAAUUAGUGUCGAAAAAAAUAAAAUCCUUCAAAAAUUCGUUGGUCGCAAAAGUUUAGUGACAGAAUUAGAGAGCGAUUCCACUUUUUUCCUCUCUAAAUUUCCGUCACUAAUUUUUAUUUUUUUUAUAAUAUAAUGAUGCUCAAAGUGGUGGUAGAGGCAAUGUUGAAUUAGGUGGAAGUUAAAAUAAUCCAAAUUAGAUUAUGGUUAAUGGUGAAUAAGAUGUUUUGUCUGGGGCUGAGUUUGAUAUGAUAGUUAGGUUGUUGGUGAAGAUGAUGGUGAUGGUGGUCAUUUUGAUGAUGAACAAAAUUUUAAAUAGACUUUUAUGAUUUUUGGGUGUAUAUAGUAGCCAAUUAGAAAGAAAUUAGGACCUUAUCUACAUUGCUUGCUCUAAUAUGUUUUUUUUAAAGUUUGUUAUUACAUUCGAAAUUUUAUUUUUUUAUGUUAAUUGGUGUUCUAUUAUAAAUAUAUAUAUCAUUUAUGUGUCACUUUCAUAUUUUUUAAAGUCAACUUUAAUUUUCCAUAGACUCAUACGAGUCUACAAAUCGAGUUUACCUGUCGAGUUUAUAUAUCAUUUUUGAGUCUAUGUAAACUCGCGAAUCUGACAACUUUACAAGUGAGUUUAAACAAUCGGGCCUUGACCAAAAUCAAACAAACUAGUGAAUUGGUUAGUUCCAUGUUCAACAUUGGAUUGGUCGGUUCAUCGGAUUAUUAGAAUAUUGUUUUUUUUUUUAAGGGAUUAAAAUAGGAAAAAACUUAGGUACAAUUCCUUAGAUGCUUUUCGUAUGGUUCUUAACUAAAAAUACAUAUUUUUUUGAUAUAACAAACUUUGAGAAAAUUAUGGAUUUGAGGAAAUCAUGAUAUUUUUAGUUAAGAACCAUACGAAAAGCAUCUAAGGAAUUGUACCUAAGUUUUCUCCAUUAGAAUAUUGUUAUCAAGGCUCAUUUUCAGUUAUAAAUGAAAAACUUAAACCAAAAUAACGACGAAAGAAGUUGAUUGAUAUAAAGUUACCUGUUGACAUUGCAAUCCCAUCCAGCAUAAUUUGCAGCUUCCAUCAAACCAUUCCUCCAUUCUUGCACUUUUAUCUUCUUCUUAAAGUUCCUCUCGUGGUUAUUAAAAGCCUCAGCAUAGCUUCCUCUCUGGUUCCUAACAUCAGAAGGAUCAACGUCAUAGAAAAUAGGCACUACAAUUUGCCCUUUCAUCUUUUUAAUUUCCAGUAUUUUCAUAAGCUCUUCCAAACACCAUUUCGACACCGCAUAGUUUUUAGAGAAAACAAUAACAGAGACCUUGGCUUCUUCAAUGGCCCUAAUAAGGGUGGUUGGUAUUUCAUCACCCCUAUUAAGAUCAUUGUCUAUAUAGGUUCUUAUAUCUAAUCUUUUCAAAGCACCAUUAAGAUGGCUUGUGAAAUUGUUGCGAGUAUCCUCACCUCUAAAACUGAUAAAAACUUCGUGCUUUUCUUGAGGAGCAUUGUUGGAUGAAGAGGAGGAGGAUGAAUAUGGC